ACCUCAUUGUUUUAAUUCCCCAAGGGUUGUUUGUUUGUUUGUUGUUUGGGGGGGUUGUUUUGUUUUGUUUUAAGAUUUUUAUUUAUUUUAUGUAUAUGAGUACACUGUAGCUGUCCUAGACACACCAGAAGAGGGCAUCCGAUUCUGUUACAGAUGGUUGUGAGCCACCAUGUGGUUGCUGGGAAUUGAACUCAGGAUCUCUGGAAGAGCAAUCAGUGCUCUUAACUGCUGAGCCAUCUCUCUAGCCCUGUCCAUAUUUAAUAAUUAUAUCCCAAUUGUAUAUCAUUUAUUUUAUUUUCCAGAUAUUUACAAUUGGCAUAUGGGAAUUUGUUUUCUUGUCUUUAUCAAAAACAAACAAACAAACAAAAAUAACAAACCAUGAAGCUUUGCUGACCUCAUCUCUAACCACCUACUUACUAAAAUGAAUUGCUUAGCAACCGUAUGAUCCAUAGGUAGUGACUUUCUCAAACAUUUUAUGACAAUAGGAACAGAAGUUGUUUUGUUUUGAAACAGGUUCUCAUGUUCCCUGUCUGGACUCUAACUUGCUGUGUAGCUGAGAAUCACCUAGGUUUCCAGCCCCUGAUAACCUCCUGGUGUGUUUCAGACAGAGUUCUGAGUUCACUCACCAUCUGAAUGUCCAGGUCCUUUCAGGCUGACAUUCACACUCUUACGGAGUGAGCCCUUACAGUGCUGCAAUCACAUGCCCUGUCCAAAUAGCAGCAAAUUAUGCUACCUUACCUUAACCCUCCCUCUGCAAUGAGACCCAUCUUUUCUAGAACAUUUAUUCUGAACCUGUGGAUUCCUAUCAGUGAAUUCUUACAAGUUAUUUAGACUUGACUUUCCAGGGUUUUUUAUUUAUUUAUUUAUUUAUUUUGGUUUUGUUUUUAAAAUAAAAGGGUGUUGUGUUGUCUAGGCUAUAUAGCGGAUAUUGGCCUUGAACACAGGCCAGGGUCUCAGCCCUGCAAGCCUGAUGAUCUGAGCUUGUUCCCCUGGACCAUAAAGGUGGAAGGAAAGAGUCAAUUGCCUGGGAUUUUCGUCUAACCUCCACAUGCAUGUCUUGGCAUGGGCACACUGCAGUCUCACACGUAAACACAAAAUAAUAAUAAUACACAAUAUCAUAAUAGUAACAACAACAACAAUAGUUGGAAUUGUUAAAAAUUAAAAGUUAAAAAAAAUAACAAUGAAAACAUAGCCUAAUACAGGCCAAUGGUUUGACAUCGCUCCUGACCUAAUGGAGAGAUUAUAUCAACCAAAGUUAUCCAGCCAUAAAGGAAAUCAGGAAAGUAUGACUUACCAGUUAAGACUUCCUUCCAAGGCUGAGCAUGAUAGCACAUACCUUUAAUCUCAGCACUCAGGAGGCAGAGGCAGGCAGAUCGCUGAGUUUGAGGCCAGCCUGGUCUACAGAUCAAGUUCUAGGACAGUCAGGGCUACACAGAGAAACCCAUAUAUAUACAUAUACAUAUAUAUGCCACUCACCCUGUUCCUAACUGUUCCUACAUGCACACACACACAUACAUAUGCUGAAAUGCUGAAAAUAUGAUGGUCGGAUGGCUCAGUAAUUAAAACACUUGCCACACUUGCCUGGCCACCUGCAUUCAGUCCCAGAACCCAGGAGGGAAAGAACUGACUCCUGAAAGUUAAUUUUCUUUUGACAUGAAUGGUGCGGCAUACAUAUUCUCUCUCUCUCUCUCUCUCUCUCUCUCUCUCUCUCUCUCAUGAAUGGCAAAGCUUUAAAAAAGGGAUAAGGAUAUAGACAUAUAAGUACAUAUGUAUGUAUCUUUCAUUUUAUACACACACACACACAUCCCUUCUAAGAUUAAUCUUGUAUAGCCAAACCAGGAGGCUGUGUAGUCUUACCUACUGUUCUCAUCGUAUCUACCUGCACAGAGUAUUUAGAGUAGCUGUAAGAAAAAAACCCUGAAACUAUAAGGCUCUUAGAGUGGAAUCUGGGAGUUAAAGGGGGAAGGUGACUUUUUAAGACUCAGAUUUUUACAAAAAGCUCUAUCGUUUCACAGCCUAGGUGCCAAGCCAUUUCCCUCCACAUGACACUUUAUUGUUUGGGUGUAUUUUAAGAGCAUGGAAUUGCUACAAUGCCCUGAUUUACUGUUUAUUUGACUCCAAGGGAAAACUUUAUAUUGCAAUUAACCUUUCUAUUUUUUUCCUUCCAUCGGAGUAUUGUGGACUUCCUCUGUGGUAUUUUAGUGAUUAGACAGGAUGGAGGGCAUCCUUACAGACAUGAGAUCAGAUUCGAUGAGAUCAGAGUGAGGGGAAGGGAUGGGAUGUGUGGGGCCAGUGAGUCUGCCCCAGCCUAACUGUCUGACACUUCCCAAGUAGAAUAGGAACUUCUGAAUAAUUCAUUUUCAGGUUAUCCUAAAAAGCCACUUAUGUGAUACCCCAGUGCAGACUUUCGGUGCCAGCUAGAGGAAGAAGAAGACUCUGUCUUUUCCUACAAGUGCUCUGCAGCCUUCCAGACCAUUUGUGCAAUUUCACUUCCAGCCCUUCACCAUCUUAGAACCUCAGGGCAGGGCCCUUGAAGGGAUUGUGGGAGCCUCACGUGAACAGGGUGUACAGUUCUUUAGACUCAUGUGAAAGGCUGGGAGAAGGGCCAGGAAGUGGUCUUGGACUUGGGCUGAAGUAUGGGGUCAGGCCAGGGUGGCAGGGGCUAAUACUGAUAGCCAGUAUUCCGCUGUAAGGUUGGGUUUUGUUGUUGUUUUGGUUUGGGGUUUUUGUUUGUUUUUGUUUAUUCUUAGCUUCUGCCACCCACCCUGUUCCUCACAGUUCCCAUGCCAGCAUAGUACUUAGGGGAGAAGGUGGUAAUUAGAGGCCCUUGCAUCCUGAAGUUCAUCAUAGACCCAUGGCUUCCUGCGCCCUUGAAUGGGUCAUCAACUGCUCUGCCCUGGGCCUGUCUCCUCACCUCUUUAUAGACUAAGGUAGAGGCCUCCUCUGCGGUACAGAAAACACUCAGGAAGGAGGUACCAGGGCAACAGCCUCAGGAAUUCUCAUGAGCAUGGCCUGCACCUGCUCACCCACAGGUCAGGGCCCCCAUUAAGGAAGGACAUGUCAAGGAGAGUACUUCCUGAGCAGCUACAGUGGGAGUGCUUGGACUGAGUGAGCAACAACUCCUCUGCCAGGAUGCUAGGAAAACUUACCAAAACUUACCAGCAUGUCUACUGCAUGCUGAAGGAAUCUGUUCAAGUUCUGAUUGUACACAUGUAGGUAUGGUGGUAUAUGCCUGUAAUCCCAGGAGGGUGCAGACAAGAGGAUCAGGAUUCAAGGUCAAGUUUAAGGCCAGUCUGUGCUACAUGAGACUCUGUGGUCUAAAGAGAAAAAGUAAAUAAAAACUGUUGGGAAAGUAAAAACCAAUGUUGGAAAAGAAACCCAUGCUUCCUGAGGGAUCCUGUAACCGUUCAUCCAGACCUACUGCCGAGUCCAGGCCUCUCAGACAUCGGACUCCAGAGCACGAAAAUCACAGGUCACCUGUGUCAUAUACAGUUGACAGCGGCUGGUAGGCUGAAAGGAACUGCAAUUCAAGGGGACAUAAUGUUGAGGGAAUAGAAAAGGCCCACAAACUUGAGAGACUGCCAGGGUGCCAGGCCAUAGGCAAGAGCAUAAGUAGGCACGUGUGGAUGGGGUGUUGUAGCCACAUGCCUGUUAUCUGAUCUGUGUGACUGCCCCUUCAGAGAGGAGGAAGGGCUUCAGCAAUGAUUCUGGCAACACAGCGAGGUAGCGCGGCAUCUGCCGAGCCUGAUGGCCUGUUCAAUCUCCCAGGACUACAUGACAGGGAGAACCAACUCCCACAGUGGUGCUCUUGCAUGUACAUGAAUAGUCAAUCUGAUAAAAAAUUUGUUUACAUUUUUGUUUAUUUCAUGUCUGUCCUAUACACGUUAAAGUGUGUAUGAGGAAGUCCGAGGACAGCAUUUGAGAAUUGGUUCCCUCUUUCCUUUUAUGGAUCCUGAAGAUGGAACUCAGGUUGUCAAAGUUAGCAGCAGGUACUGAAUCAGCUCUCCAGCCCUAAGAAAAUGUUUUUAUAACCUCAUCCACUCAAGAUUACAAAAGAAACCAGACGCCACACCCAUAUAUAAAUAUUUAUAUAGAAAUACUAAAUAAAGUAUUAGCAACCAGACCUGAGAGCUCACUAAACACCUGAUACACCACAGCCAUAUGGGAACAAGUGGAGUUAGUAUAAUCUAUCAUAUUAGCAGGUCAGAGGAGAAAAAUCCAUUUCAUUAGCUACAUAAAUGCUUAAGAUGUACUUAAAGAAAUCAAUACUCAUCUUUUAUUAAAAAGUCAUAAUAAAGUAGGAGAUGGCUAUUUUAUUAACAAAAUCUAAAUGUAUACAUUUAAAGCC
rnacentral:lncRNA from 1 species